rnacentral:antisense_RNA from 1 species
CUUUACGGAGCCGAGCCACAGGGGACGGUCGUGCGGCCGGUCCUGUCCGUACGUGGCCAGCAGCGCCUGCGCCUC